UACGUAGGGUGCGAGCGUUGUCCGGAAUUACUGGGCGUAAAGAGCUCGUAGGUGGUUUGUCGCGUUGUUCGUGAAAACUCACAACUCAAUUGUGGGCGUGCGGGCGAUACGGGCAGACUGGAGUACUGCAGGGGAGACUGGAAUUCCUGGUGUAGCGGUGGAAUGCGCAGAUAUCAGGAGGAACACCGGUGGCGAAGGCAGCUCUCUGGUACGUGACUGACGCUGAGACGCGAAAGCGUGGGGAGCGAACAGG
rnacentral:rRNA from 1 species